CCAUUAACUCAGUGAAGACCAGCCUGACCUUUCCCUCCCGCUGCCCCACAGACAAACGUGCAUCACGUGCAAGCAGAUCCAGUGUAAUUUUUGCCCUACAAAUAGACCCUGGCCUUGAGGGAUGUUUCUCGUCAGUGUUAAAGAAUUUCCAGGCAGCAGUCGGGCAGGCCUCGCAUGCAGGGCUCAGCCCUCGGAGCAGCGUGCCUGCCCACAGCUUUGCUAGUCUUCUGUCAGUCCCCUCACAGCACACAGGCCAUAGCAAUAGCGAGGAGUGUGCAGUUUCAGGCAGUGGCUCUCGGUGACCCCCGGGAGCCAGAUCAUGUUUCAGUGUUUCCAAAACAAGUGAUGGGAUUUCAGUUCCAGCAACAUUUUCAAGUUUUUAGCUUUUGGUGGGAUAAUUUUUCUGGCAAUUCAACUAUUGGAAUCCAAUUUUCUGUUCCACCAGCCAGCCCUACUCAUAAAAUACUACGUAGAGCACAGUGAACAAAGCAGCACACCCUGAAUUAGCAUGGGCCAUACACGCAUGCAAAGUAUUAUUGCUCUGUAUUUGUACACCACCUCCCAUAAUGGCACCUCCUGGGCCAUGUCUCCUAAACAAAUAAGUAAUAAUACUAUUAAAUGAGGUUCACAACUCAAGUCCCUCCCCGGGAGGAGUCAACAAGCCAGUAACAAACCAGAGACAGAGAAAGACUGAAACCUUUCAUAGAUGGAGAUUGAAAAAGAGCUGAACUGAUUGCUUUAGACUGAGAAACAGUGAAUAAGGGGACAUGAUAAAGAGAUGCAAAAUAAUACAUGCUAUAUACAAAGUAGAAUGGGAUUCCCAUCCCACUGUCUUAUACUGAAUGUGUGAAAAGGACAAUAAAUCAAUUAAAUUAAAAGACAGCUGAUUUAAAAAGGAAAUACACAAUACAAAAUUUGCCAGUGGAACUCAUUGCCAAAAGAUACCACGCAGAUAUCAUGAAUAGCUGAGCAGGAGUCAUGAAAAUGAUUAGAUAUUUAUUUAGAUAAGAACAUCCAGCAUUUAAAAAAAAAUAGUUUGGAAGAGUUUGCCUCGGGUCAUAGAUCAACCUAUGAUGGAUGGGUUUGGAAAGAAACUUUCCCUAUUGGCAGGUUAUUCCAUAACUGCCUUUGCUGAAAAGCUUCUUGCACCAUUGGAGACAUACCACUAGACCAGGAGUCAUUUAGUUGUUCAGUUCUGUAACCAGACUGUGAUAAUUUACUUUCAAACUGUUGGACUAUAUUUAUAAGAGCUUAGGGUGACCAGAUAGCAAGGGUCAAAAAUUGGGACCAGGGUAGGGUAAUAGGUGCCUAUAUAAAAAAAAGCCCCCAAAAUGGGGACUGUCCCUAUACAAUCAGGAUAUACGGUCACUCUAUAAGCGCAGUUACAGUACAAAGCAUAAGAAGCUAAGUCUUAUUAUUGCCAAGGUAAAAACCAGGUAUUUUGUUCAGAUCUAGACACCAGUAAAUGCUCAUUAUCAGCUAAGGAGGAGGAGCAGCAUUGCAGCGUGAGACCGUGUGUCUGGCACAAGUAGCAGUGACCAUUCACUCCUCUCUGAUUUGAGGGAGCAAGAGCUUGGGUUUGGGCUUAUCACCUCAUGGAACAGAUUUUAAUCUUGGAGUCAGUGUUGCUAUCGCUUUAGAAUUCUAUCAGAAAGGUUUUUAAUGUUGCGGGGCUAGUCUAUGGUGUGGCAUAACAAACAUUGAAUGUAGACAAUAGCCGGAGUGAUGGAACCUCCCUUUUCUCACGUCUUCAAUGGCACUUUUCCACUGAUGCCAAAACCACCCCAUUCCUCCCCCGUAACAUCCUUACAUCACUAACUGUUCCCGAUCUUCUAGUGAUAAACAUUAUGUACAAGAACACUGGGCAAGGCUGCUCUCGCAAGGGGAACGGGGCUGAUUCAUUGGUGCUUUUUAAAAUCCCCAUUUGGGGAACCCUCGCCUUGGGGGAGAUCUGUCAUCCAGCACACAGGGCAGAGCCUAACACAUCAGAGAGCCAAGCUAUGAGCAGGAGCAUUAGUCAUUUUUCCUGAGCUAGACAAUGGGCAUUUUCUCCUCCCUUUGCGAUAUUCUCACAGAGUACUGGUUGUAUCCCCUGCUGGAGGGAUUAGUACAAGGGCUUGCAAUUCUUUCUAGAUCCUGGUUAAUUCAGGACACUUUCCUCUCUCAUAGGAUUUAGUGCACACUGCAGCGUAUCCCUCCCCUCUACCAUCAUUAGUAAAGCACAUCUUUCUUCUCCCCCUCAGAGGAACAACUUUCUGAAGUGGGUUCUCCCCUGCUCAGCCCCUUUCUUUCCAGAGGGAGAAUCUCUCCCAGAGUCAUGUCAAGCAGGACUCACCAAGAUGAUUAUCUCUACACGCCAGCAGCAUACCAGUGGCCAGCAGAAUCGUUGUGGAGUCAGUUUGGGUACAUGUGUAACAGGGCCUUGUACGAGGAAUUAGAAGCGAAGCAGCUUGUUGAUGGCCUCAUGGGCUUUGCCUCCCUUCUCUUGAAGCACAGAAUGUAGGAAGACGCUCAACUGAGGCACUGCCAACAGGCCUUGCUUGAGCAAGCUAAAGGUCACCAUGCUAAAGGUCACAUUUAUUGUUAUAAGUUUUUGCCUAUGCCGUAACCUGAGCAGUAGUUUGAACCAACUCCCAUGUGGAAGAAAAUAUUCUGCAGAUCCAUGAGCAUUCUGUUGCCUGAAGAGUAAAGCUCUUGGGAGGAAUGGUUCAAUCCAAAGGAGAAGAUCCAAGCCACUCUGCGCUUAUGUAGGUUUACUACAUUCCAGGCUGGUUUUGGUGUUCGACAGAUGGUAUGUUCUAAUAUUUCUCACUGUGUCAUGACAAUGUCACAAGUGUUAGUCAAAUAUGUGAAGGGUAUAACGUGUUUGGAGCGCUGUCGAGGCCCGAACUGUAACACUUUGUAUUUACAUUGAGUUGUAUAAACAUUUAAUUAAGACUCUCAAACCUUGAAAGGUUGAGGAUUAUUAUUUUCAUUUGACAGCUGAGGAAUGUGAAGAAGAAAGUGGUUAAAUGACUUGCCAGAAACUGCACAGAAAGUUAAUAUUCGAGGGCAAGAGUACUUGGCUCAGUCUUGAAACCAAGUCACGCUCGCAGACUCUCCAGAACACUUGACUAAGAUAUGCAGCAUACAUGCGUUUUCAAGGACAGUACCGGCCCUUGUACUUACGAUUCAGACAUCACACACAGGAACACAUACAAACUCUUAUUUAAAGGUUUAUUAAGAUUGAAUUGUAGAACAACAGAUUGGAACACAAUGCAAUGUGGAGUAGAGUAUUUCUAAAUCCAUUUUUUUCUAUGCAUAAAUGAAAAAAUCAAGAUUAUACAAAAGAGAACAAAGUGCAGAACACAGUAAAAGUUUCUCAUGCAAUAAAGUUUGACCUUAAAAACAGAAAAUAAGCUUAACAGUGUAGAAAUAAAAAAGUAUGCUGUCUACUCAAAACACAUUCAUCUGUGACAUUGCUUUUCUUUAUCCCUUUUUCCUCAUAAAAAUUAUGUGUUUAACACACGCUUAUAAACAUUGCUAAACUCAGCAAGAGCUAUUAUAGUGCCCCAACUUAAUAAGUUGAUAAAAAAGUAGUUGUCAUAUGGCCAGUUCACAAUGGAACCAAAUUUUUUUUCAUUAGGAGAUGCCUAUAUGCAGCUUUCUAUUAAUAGGAGGCAUUUUAAAUAAGCUGGUCAUUUGGCUACCAAAAGGGUUGAGUGUCCAUGUUACAUCAGAAAGAAAAAUUAGGAACCACCAAUUUGUUCAGAGUUAAUUCCAUCUGAGGUUUGUUCUACUAAAUACAACUUGGCAAUAAUCUGGCACUAGUGGGUAUUAUAUCAAUAAUGCUAAUAAUAGUGUUUUAGGGGUACAUUCCUAGAUCUUUAAAUGUGAUUUUAAAAUUUGAAAAAAAGGAGCCAGAGUUCAUGGAACGUGAACUCAUGUGGUGGGUUCUCUCUUACAGAAGUUUGCACUGGAGACCCGGUAUGUUUAUAUUAGGGUGAAAUAUUUGCUGGGGAAAAGAUUUGUUAGCAGUUGUGUUACAGUGACAGCAGCUACAGCACUACAAGUCGUCUGUUUACUGCUGGCAUCAGAAGUGACAGCUCCUAUUGCCAUCGGGUUAAAAAGGAUGCUGUAUGAUGCAACAGGUUUUUAGUCCCCUCUGCAUCAGACAAAACUAUUUGUCCCGCAGAGGGCCACAGCAACAGUUUGCAGACUGGAAAGGCAAGGUUAAAAGCAAGACAAAUUUGAAGGAUGUUCAGGUCUAGAAAUUCAAAUCACUCUUACAGGAAAUUAUCUUCAAUUUAAUCAGGGCAAAACCAAGCAUCUUAAUGGUGGUACCUUUCUGCCCUGACUGGCUGAAGUCAUGCACAAGUGAGAUUGUGGAAGUCCUGAUACAAUUUCCCCUUGCUGAAGUGAAAAAUCCCUUAAAAUAAAAACAGUUCAACAUUUGAGUAAGGAGAAGAUGCAUUUGCAAUAUGCUUAUUCUGGAUGCAACAUGAGAAAUAGAAAACUUUGGGUAGCUUAUCCUUUGAGAAUGACCCUUUUCAAUGAAAAUUUACAAAUUUGCAGUGUGGCGGCUUAAGCUCAAGAACUAUCUAUAGCCAUAAAAAUCACCUUAAGGAAAAAUAAAAUUUGGUAUUUCUUACACAGUCAUCAAUACCAUUCAUGUGCAACAUUUGGCGUGCAUUACAUUUAUUUGGCCUAUCAACAGAAAACAAGGAAAAGACAGCUGCAAAUAAAAACCAAUCGCUCUUCCACAACAGAUACUUCAGAUGCUUGGAAUUUCAUGCAGGUGUUCUUUAAACAGGAUAUAUAUUUUAUAGCUUAGUUCAUCUUGCAGCAGACUAAGAAAUGGGGAAAACGGGAAGAACUCAAGUGAAAACACAUUACUUAGUACAAUUCAGGAAGAGCAUACAAUCAACAAGGAUAUUUUGGCCCCAACUAUACAGUUCAGUUCCUAGUUUUAUCUCUAGUUCUGUCACUGAACAUUUUACACUCUAUAUAUAAACUAGAGGUAAAACUAGGUACUGAACCACAGGAUGUCACGCAACCAAAUCACAUUAAAUUGCAGUUAGGAAAAAUAUGGAAAUGUUGAACAAAAAUAAUCUGGACUAUCAAAACAGGCUUCAAGGAGGGAGCCCACCAGCUGUGGUUCUGUUGUCUCCAGCAAAACUAUUUAAAUUUCCUCCUCCUCCCGUUUGUAAAUUUAGUCUUAAUCCAGAGAGUUGUUAAUGGGUAUUAAGGGCCUGAUCCAAGGCCCACUGGAGUGAAUGAAAGUCCUUGCAUUGACUUCCCUGGGCUUUGGAGCAAGUCCUAGAUCACCAAAACCCACGAGUAGGUAUAUGGAUUCUAGAGAGACUAUUUGCCUUCAACAACGUACUUCCCCAUACAGCCACCUCUGACAUGUAGUUAUUGAACUGCUCUGGGACAAGAGGAAUUCCUACGAGAGACAGACUCCCCUGCUAUAGUAUCCAUGCCCCUUAAAACAAACACAAAAAAUAGCUUUCUUGGGAACAUUUGGCAUGUUUCACAACUGAAUCAGUCAGCCAGAAUUUCCAUAGUGAAAGUUGCUCAUAAACCUGUGGCUAGUGAUGGGGAAAUUCUGAUUCCCUGGAGCAGGAGUCUACGUUCAAAGCGUCCCUGCUGGUCAGACUUCUGAGGUGGGGAACUUUCCAUAUUUUAUACAAAGGCCCAUCUAUGAUAGGCCGAAAAAGGACACAAGAUUCAGAGAGUUGUAAUUUGCACUGGAUUUGUUGUUUCUCCUCCAAAUGCUUCUUUGCACCUUGUUGUGAAAGGCAUGUGUCUUGUCUUGCCAACAGUUGUCCUGAACUGACUGUUGACAGAGUGGAUCAGAGAUAAAUCAGCUUAAAAUUAUUUAAAGGUUAUUUAGGUAAUAAAUCUCCAUGCAAAUAAUUUGAGUAAUUGUAAGAAAACAUUCCUAAGAAAUUAUUGCUUCUAUUUUUUGAAAUCCUUACUGAGCUGCUUGGUUCAAAUAUGAUUAGACUAUGAUAAAUCAAUGCAGCCAAUUCAAUUUUAUAAUUUCCAAAAAUGGUUAUGUUUAAGCCUCUCUGACUUUACGCAGCAUAAUGCUAGAUUUGAUGCCUAGCAACCAGAUAUCUGAUGCAAAGAGAUACUUUUAACUAAUUUAACCUUUUAAGAACAUGAACCUAAAGCUGUCAAGUGUUAUCAAGAAACAGAUUUUUAAUCAGUGGAUGUAACAUAUUAUGUGAUAAAGAGAAAUACAGGAAGAAUUAAACUACCAAAACUUAAACCUGCUACAGUAUGCAUCUUAUUUGAUAGCAUACACAAGAUGAAGUGGACUAAGUAGUAAUAAUGGCAUACCUAAACACUAUUUAGAGUCACCAGAAAGUUAAACAACUCCCUCAGCUUUUUCCUCCCUUCAAUUCCACAAUAAGAAAUAAGGUGAUUACACUUUGAUGGGUUUGACUAGUGCAACCUUAAAGUAACAAUCUCUUUGCAGUUGAAGAUAAGGGAUACGUUACCUACCCCAUGGAAAAGCCUGGGCUACAAAGGGAAUCUCUCAAAAAUCGAAGAGCUCUAGAAUUAAAAACUUCCGAUAAUCAUCACUAAGCAGCAACCUGUCCACGUCCAAAGCUGAAAAGCAUCUUUAAUUUCGUCAGGCUCCAUAACCUGGCUAGGCAGUGGAACUAGCUACUAUGGUUGCAAGUCUUUGAAGGCCUAGGCAGGGCUACCCAAACAUGAAGUAUUGCCAGCAGGACACAAACGUGUUUACACUGAAUGAUUGUUUCCCUGGGACCUUCACUUUGCUGCAGUGCAGUAAAACGUCGUGCUACAAAGCAGCAUAGCUAGUUUACAUUUUAAUGUGAUAAUCUAAACAAUGCUUUCCCAGCCCAAACUGUGCACAUUCUAGUCUCCAAUUCUUAGGAAAGAGGCUUGGUAAAGGCUGGCCAGCACAAAAUUCAUCUGACCUGAUUGAAAUCCUCGGGAUCUGAAACUGAGCUCCACCCUACAACCAAACCUUCACCUCCCUCUUUUAGAGGUCUGUGUGGGGAAGUGGGGGGCUGGAGUAAAUGUGCAUGUGCCCAGCUCCAAAAAGCAAAGUUUUAUGAUCCCUCUGUUCACUAUGUAGCAAGAGGCAGCCAACUGUUCUUUCCAAAGCUAAAUUGUCACCAGCUUAUGAUGCCAGUGCACAUUUUGGCUCAAGAAAGUGCUAUGCUGGGUAAUGCUAAUUUAAACAACAUCCAGUGAAACAUCUGUCAAGAGGGAAAAGGACCAGAUUGGUAUGAAAGAUUAAAUUGAUAGACAAAUCUCACACGCAAUGGUAACUUUAAAACUUGUUUUAUGUGUCAGUAACUAAGAUCUACUGACUGUGUCCGUUUAACAAAGAAGCAGAAUCCUUAGAGUAUUUUAAAAUAAAAUAUUGAUGCCAAACUUUAAAACUGUACAAUUAGGUUUGUAUUUCACAGGAAUGCCAGUUUUAUGGUGAAACAGCACUGCAUUUCGGUUAUAUGUGAAGCCUACUAGACUAUAUACACAGAGAUGAUAAAACUCACUCCAAGAGUUCAGUGAGAAAUAUUUCUAGCAACUGAUUUCUUCAAUAAGGUCUUAAAUGCUUCAGUAGUAUUAGUCUCCUGUCUGAACACAAAAUUCAGAAGUGUUCUAAUAAUAAAAAUAUUCACAGAGAAAAAACAAACAAAAAACAAACAAACACAAAAAAACAGACUUCUUUUCCUUAACACACUUCAAACAAGAGUCCUGUGCAAUUCUGUGUACUUGAUGGAAUUUCAUAGCAUUCAAAUGUAAAAACAGUAUAUUCAUGCCCGCCAGAGGGAGACAUGAGUACUGCCUAAAAUCCUUCAGCUAAGAAGAAAACAUAUGAUGCCAUCAGUAAUUUAUCAAUGACAUUGGCAAGAUGGCCAGUUAGCCUCAACUCCACCAGAAUAUAUAUUCUCUUAAAUACACUUACAAUUCAAGUAAUUAAAAACAGCUUUUCAUUUUGAAAUAUAUAUACUUUGCUUUUGAAUGACUAUACUGCAGCAUGAUUCAGACACGCAUUCUAAAGUACUGCGACUAUUUAAUGAGUUUGAGGCGGCAGAAAUAUUACAACAGUGGUCUGGAUUUGCUUGACUAAACCUGUGAACUUGCUGUAGCCUCUUCUGUUCCACCUGGAAAUGAGUAAAUAGAGUUAUGAACACUUCUUAUAAAGGUAAGGACCGGAAGUUUGUUGGUUUUGUUUAUAAAGACAUUUUAAAAGGCUGCUGCAUCUGAGUUACAGCUAUCCAUGGUUUUGGGCAUUGCUAAAAAUUCAGUUAAGCAUUUAAGUUAAAAAUAGUUAUCUUUCCUAUCGCUCUUCUCAGGAAAUUUCUUUGCACUGCAGCUAUGUCCUGAAUCCAGUAUUAUGCAAGAGGGUAAUGAGGUCAGACUGAAGGAAUCAGGACAGCAGCUCAAAAGAGCUCCAGUAUACAACUCCUGUGUAGGGACAGGAACUGCAUUACAUGCUUCUGGAUUGGAUUUUAAGAACCAAAGCUCUUUCUGACACAGAUUUUUAUAUAACCAGACUAUGGCAUAAAGUUAUAGAGGUAGGCCUUCGGUUUACCUUGUUGUACUGACACUGACUAUACUAUUGUGAUUCCCAGCCAGAAGGUUAAAGGAUCAUAGAAGUGCAAUCAACAACCUCCUUCCCCUCUAAAGAGAAUCCUCACAUCAAUUCCAUGAAGCCAACUGAAUGAAAUUCCCUUCUCCAUUGCAGUUUCAUCAAAAUGAGAUGAUCAGUUUUAAAUGCCGAGAGAAAAAUCAACCGUAGUAAGUUCAACAUGCAAAACUCCCUGCUAAAAUUGUCACAGCAUGUUCCAGUGCCGCUCAUUAAAUUCUGCACUCACUGCAAAUGCUUGCUGCAAGUGCUGAUCACCUUCCCAGCUGCUGUUACUUCCAUCAGCAGCUAAACCAUACACGCAAUACCAUCAAUUUCUGACAAGCGGCAGUACUUGGGAACAGAUUUGUUGAACAGUUUGAAUAAAAGAAUUGACAGCAGUUCUCUUAAACUGUAGGUAUUGCUUUUUUAAAACAUAAGUAAUUGCAAAGAAAAAUACUUGGUAGUAAUUGCACCCACUAAAAUAGGAUGAAAUCCAAACAAAUGUUAAAAAAUUGUAGCUGUCAAACCAAAUAUUGUGUCUACAG